ensembl:lncRNA novel transcript
GGAGCGCGCAUAAGGCGCGCACUCGGGCUCGCCGGGACUCGCGCUCUCCCGGGACUGGCUCCCCUCUCUGCAAGCCGGGACUUGCCGCCGGUGUCCCUGAGGGCUCGCAGCUGUAACUCGAACACGCUGGAACCGACUCCGGCGAGCCGGCUGCCUUCUCGAGACGUUCCUCCUUGCCCGGGCCGCCCGCGGGCCAGGUCAUUUGGUCAUCCUCGGCCUCCAGGUAGGAUCAGGAAGCCACUCCUCACCUUUGCCCGGACCUCUUCUGUGUUCACGUAGAGUGGACUUUUAAAAGCCUGACCCAAGUGCCUCACGAUGCUUAGGGGGAAGCCGCUGGGGAGCAGGACUUUGCUUUGAGGGGAGGGAGUAGUCAAGGUAAAGGAACCUCUGCUCCGAGUGCCAAUAAAAUCCCCACAAGAUUAGCUGGGAGCAUAUUUAUUGCUCAUCUGAGCUAGAAUUACCUUGACUGACACCAAUUUCCUUAAUAACAAAAGCCUGUAAACAAAA